ACCUCUUUUUUCAGGGAAGAUAAUGACGGUACCUGAAGAAUAAGCAUCGGCUAACUCCGUGCCAGCAGCCGCGGUAAGACGGAGGAUGCAAGCGUUAUCCGGAAUUAUUGGGCGUAAAGCGUACGCAGGUGGCAUAUCAAGUCCUUUGUUAAAGCGCGAGGCUCAACCUCGUAAAGGCAGAGGAAACUGGUAAGCUAGAGUAUGGUAGGGGCAGGAGGAAUUCCCAGUGUAGCGGUGAAAUGCGUAGAUAUUGGGAAGAACACCAACGGCGAAA
rnacentral:rRNA from 1 species